rnacentral:lncRNA from 1 species
GCACAGCCCAGCCAUAGUGCAGGAUCCAAUCCCAAUCACAGAAAAACGAAGCAAUAAUUUCAAGCCAAUUUUCAUUAAAACACGUACACGAUGGAUCUAUGCCAAAUUAUGAAUAGUAUAACGAAGAGGAACUACAUAUGCUUAUUUAAUUGAAAAUCAGAAGGUUUUAGUUUCAUUCAACAACAUCAUUAAAAUUAGGAUACUAAUUAAUCUUUAGAACCCGAUACUCUCACUAAAUUAAUUCCAUACAUGUGAAAUUUUGCAUUAACUUACUCAUAAACAAUUCCCAUAGACAUAUUAGUGUGGUCCAGGUGUUCUAUUCAAGCACAAAAAUAUAUAGUUAGCCAUAACAUGAUCAAAAUUGAUACUAAUCACUAUGAACACUACCAAAAUCAGUUUCUAGAUUGAACUAUAUAAAGCUAACAAACAUAUGCUAAUACAAUCAUCAGCUAAACGUCAAUGAUCCUCAAUCAAACGACCAAUUCCUUCAUUAAAACUUCAAUGGAUACAUCAGUGAGGUUCAAGUAGUGUACCUGGAAAUUAUGGUUAAACAAAACAAAGAGGAGUUAGCAGAGCAGCAGAAAGCACAACUUCAAAUCAAAAACUAUUAAGUGAUGGAAUUUGAUUUCAAAACUAAAUGAGACUCAUGGAGUGAACUCAGCUACAACAACAAUUUGACCCAAAAAUGAAAUCCAAAAGAGCUUCAAAUAGCUUAAAAUGAAACAGAAACACCACAGAAUCUCUCGACAAUGCAAUCUCAAAUCCAAAACUCAAAGUGUACUGAAGAUUAUAAUGGAACAGUAACUUUCUUCUAUUUUUCUAUCAUAUUUUCCUACUGUUUUUUUCUUCUUGUUUUGUUUUGAGUUUUUUGUCUUUUGUUUUUUUGGUUUUUUUGUUUUUGGUUUCUAAAUUUCGAAAGCUACUCAAAUAUAAAAAUAAGCAUGAAAAAAAAAGUGUUUUUGUGAGCUAGUGAUGGUGAAGAAGAAGACCCCUAGCAAGGCUGUUUCUAUGCCCUUUUAUAGGAAUGGCAUUUAGGGCAGCUAUAUGAGUAUCAGAAUUGCACCUAGAACCUUUUGUAAUUUUGAAAUUGUCUACUCAGUCCCUAAAAUUCUGACUUGCUCAAGCUUAAUGCCUACAAAUCUCAAAUUUCACUGCAACCCAUAGUAGAAGCUUUCCCAUUCAGUUACAAAAAAGAUUCCCUAGGUGUGUUACCCUAAUUACCCUUUAAAGCCUAUGUAAUUACCUAUCAAUAUCAAAUGGGUCAGUUGGCCAAUCUGACAAUCACAUGGGUCAAGUCUGCCCAAAACUCAUACCAAAAGGGACUGAUCUCUUGAAAUAGGCCAAUGGUGACCCAAAUAAAGCCCACAUCCAGAUAUUAAAUCAAGCAAUCAACACGUGAAAUUUCAUUUGACCCAAACUACACUAAGGAUGAAUUAAUGAGAAGGAGAAAUUCUAAACGCCCUGAAUAGGCUAAGCAAAAAAAAAUUUCAGCAGCUAAUUCUAAUCAUGUCUGCAAACUGUUUAGAACAUGAUGCAGGCCAAACUAAUUAAAACUUAACAAAAAUCAGAAAUAUGGACACAAUACGAAAGGCAGGACUGAUACCACUAAUCAUUGUUAUAAGCAAGAACAAUAAAUUAACGUAAGUAUUGAAUCACCUUGGGCGUCGGAUGCAUGAGAACAAUAUUAGGGGCUGGCUGAGUCUAUCUUUGAGUCUUUAGAUUUGGGCUCGAAAGGGGAAGGUGGGGGUUUUAGGGAAUUUAGGCUUAUCCUCAUGUUCAGAUGGGCUUGAAGGUUGUGUGGAAGAGAUUUGAAGAUAACUUGAGCCGCGCCUCCAGCGGAGAAAAUUAGGGCGGCGACUAGGGUUUUGACGAUUUAAGGGAUUCUGGUAAGAUUUGAGAGGAAUAAGUCACGUAUUCAUGUUAAGGAAGUUUAGAAGGUGUGAGGGUGUAAUUUUGGGGCGACUUGGAGUUGGUGCCGCCACUUGCGGCUUAGGAACUUAGGGCGGCAUUUUAUUAGGGUUCAUGAAGGGGGAUUCAGAGAGGAAGACGAG